rnacentral:rRNA from 1 species
CACCACGGGUUUCGGGCUUCGGCUCGACUCUCCCACCCUUUGUGAACGUACCUCUGUUGCUUUGGCGGCUCCGGCCGCCAAAGGACCUCCAAACUCCAGUCAGUAAACGCAGACGUCUGAUAAACAAGUUAAUAAACUAAAACUUUCAACAACGGAUCUCUUGGUUCUGGCAUCGAUGAAGAACGCAGCGAAAUGCGAUAAGUAAUGUGAAUUGCAGAAUUCAGUGAAUCAUCGAAUCUUUGAACGCACAUUGCGCCCCUUGGUAUUCCGGGGGGCAUGCCUGUUCGAGCGUCAUUACAACCCUCAAGCUCUGCUUGGAAUUGGGCACCGUCCUCACUGCGGACGCGCCUCAAAGACCUCGGCGGUGGCUGUUCAGCCCUCAAGCGUAGUAGAAUACACCUCGCUUUGGAGUGGUUGGCGUCGCCCGCCGGACGAACCUUCUGAACUUUUCUCAAGGUUGACCUCGGAUCAGGUAGGGAUACCCGCUGAACUUAAGCAUAUCAAUAAGUCGGAGGAAACUCAUUACCGAGUUUUCGGGCUUUGGCUCGACUCUCCCACCCUUUGUGAACGUACCUCUGUUGCUUUUGGCGGCUCCGCCGCCUAAGGGACUCCAAACUCCGUCAGUAAACGCAGAAAUCUGAUAACAGUUUAAUAAACUAAAACUUUCACACGGAUCUCUUGGUU